rnacentral:tRNA from 1 species
GUUUCUAUAUUUUAUGAAAAAUAUUAAAUUGCAAGUUUAAAGAAGAGAUGAUCUAGAAAUU